rnacentral:rRNA from 1 species
GACAGAGGCCUCGAGCGUUAGGCGGAAUCACUGGGCUUAAAGCGUGUGUAGGCGGGCCCGUAAGUGUCUUGUGAAAUCCCACGGCUCAACCGUGGAACUGCUGGGCAUACUGCGGGUCUUGGGCCAACUAGGGGCAGCCGGAACAAGCGGUGGAGCGGUGAAAUGCGUAGAUAUCGCUUGGAACGCCAAUGGUGAAAACAGGUUGCUGGGGGGUGUGCUGACGCUGAGACACGAAAGCCAGGGGAGCAAACGGG